CGCAAGCCUGAUGCAGCGACGCCGCGUGAGGGACGAAGGCCUUCGGGUUGUAAACCUCUUUCGACAGGGACGAAGCGCAAGUGACGGUACCUGUAGAAGAAGCGCCGGCCAACUACGUGCCAGCAGCCGCGGUAAGACGUAGGGCGCAAGCGUUGUCCGGAUUUAUUGGGCGUAAAGAGCUCGUAGGCGGCCUGUCGCGUCGACUGUGAAAACCCACGGCUUAACCGUGGGACUGCAGUCGAUACGGGCAGGCUCGAGUUCGGUAGGGGAGACUGGAAUUCCUGGUGUAGCGGUGAAAUGCGCAGAUAUCAGGAGGAACACCGGUGGCGAAGGCGGGUCUCUGGGCCGAUACUGACGCUGAGGAGCGAAAGCGUGGGGAGCGAACAGGAUUAGAUACCCUGGUAGUCCACGCUGUAAACGUUGGGCGCUAGGUGUGGGGGGCCUCUCCGGUCCUCUGUGCCGCAGCUAACGCAUUAAGCGCCCCGCCUGGGGAGUACGGUCGCAAGACUA
rnacentral:rRNA from 1 species